rnacentral:rRNA from 1 species
AUUGAACGCUGGCGGCAGGCCUAACACAUGCAAGUCGAACGAGUGGCGGACGGGUGAGUAAGGUCUGGGAAACUGCCUGAGGGAGGGGGAUAACUACUGGAAACGGUAGCUAAUACCGCACACCAGAAGAUGUGCCCAGAUGGGACUAGCUAGUUGGUGGGGUAACGGCUCACCAAGGCGACGAUCCCUAGCUGGUCUGAGAGGAUGACCAGCAACACGGGAACUGAGACACGGUCCAGACUCCUACGAGAGGCAGCAGUGGGGAAUAUUGCACAAUUGGCGCAAGCCUGAUGCAGCCAUGCCGCGUGUAUGAAGAAGGCCUUCGGAUUGUAAAGUACUUUCAGCGGGGAGGCGUUACCCGCAGAAGAAGCACCGGCUAACUCCGUGCCAGCAGCCGCGGUAAUUC